UACGGAUGAAAGCAGGGGACCGCAAGGCCUUGCGUCGAUGUGGAGCGGCCGAUGGCAGAUUAGGUAGUUGGUGGGGUAAAGGCUCACCAAGCCAACGAUCUGUAGCUGGUCUGAGAGGACGACCAGCCACACUGGGACUGAGACACGGCCCAGACUCCUACGGGAGGCAGCAGUGGGGAAUUUUGGACAAUGGGCGAAAGCCUGAUCCAGCAAUGCCGCGUGCAGGAUGAAGGCCUUCGGGUUGUAAACUGCUUUUGUACGGAACGAAACGGCCUUUUCUAAUAAAGAGGGCUAAUGACGGUACCGUAAGAAUAAGC
rnacentral:rRNA from 1 species